rnacentral:lncRNA from 1 species
GUUAACUUUUAGAAACCUCACAUUUAAUUUUUAGGGCUUUAUGCUUAUUAAAAAACAAUCUUAAAGAUGAAUGGGAAUGAUGAAAUAAUAAACAAUCAUUUGUUGUUUGACAAAGGUACAGAAUUAGCUGAUGAAAUCAAGUGUCAUAUACUGGGAGAAGAAAGAAGGUAGCCAUGAGAAGGGCUGCCUCACGGUAGAACAUGAGCAGGUAAUGCACAAGGAGCACCACUGGGAAUCAUGUCAGACGAGUCAAUCUCAGGGAGUGAUCCGGACCUGGACCCGGACUUGGAGCAGGAGGAUAUGGAAGAGGAGGAGGAGGAAGAUGAGGAGGAGGCGAUGGAGGAGGACAAUGAUGGGGAUGAUGAGGAAGACUUACUUGAUGAAAGUGGUACAAGGGAAAACUCCCAUGAGCUGA